CCUUCGGGUUGUAAAGCUCUGUCGAGUGGGACGAAAAAUUAUUAGGUGAAUAGCCUGGUAAUCUGACGGUACCGCUAAAGGAAGCACCGGCUAACUCCGUGC
rnacentral:rRNA from 1 species